rnacentral:rRNA from 1 species
AGAACGAACGCUGGCGGCGUGGAUAAGACAUGCAAGUCGAACGGGAUCAUCUGGUAGUAAUACUAGGUGGUUCAGUGGCGAACGGGUGCGUAACACGUGGGUCACAUUCCGGGAAGUGAGGCAUAGCCCAGGGAAACUUGGAUUAAUUCCUCAUGUGGUCGCAAGACUAAAGGCGCAAGCCGCUUCCUGAUUGGCCCGCGGCCUAUCAGCUUGUUGGCGGGGUAAAAGCCCACCAAGGCGACGACGGGUAGCUGGUCUUAGAGGACGACCAGCCACACUGGAACUGAGACACGGUCCAGACACCUACGGGUGGCAGCAGUCGAGAAUCUUUCACAAUGGGGGC